UAAUACGAAGGUGGCAAGCGUUGUUCGGAAUCACUGGGCUUAAAGAGCAUGUAGGCGGGCCAUCAAGCGUCUUGUGAAAGCCCUCGUCUCAACCGAGGAAUUGCUAGGCGAACUGAUGGUCUUGAGGUAGGUAGGGGCGCGUGGAACUCUUGGUGGAGCGGUGGAAUGCGUAGAUAUCAAGAGGAACGUCGGCGGCGAAGGCGACGCGCUGGGCCUAUCCUGACGCUGAGAUGCGAAAGCUAGGGUAGCGAACGGGAUUAGAUACCCCGGUAGUCCUAGCCCUAAACGAUGUCCACUAGGUCGGAGUACUUCUGACAGUUUUCCGGUCGAAACGAAAGCGUUAAGUGGACCGCCUGGGGAGUACGGUCGCAAGGCUA
rnacentral:rRNA from 1 species